UACGUAGGUGGCAAGCGUUGUCCGGAUUUAUUGGGCGUAAAGAGCGCGCAGGCGGUUCGUUAAGUCCGAGGUGAAAUCUCCCGGCUCAACUGGGAGGGGUCUUCGGAUACUGGCGGACUUGAGGAGUGCAGAGGAGACUGGAAUUCCCGGUGUAGCGGUGAAAUGUGUAGAGAUCGGGAGGAACACCGGUGGCGAAGGCGGGUCUCUGGGCAUCUCCUGACGCUGAGGCGCGAAAGCGUGGGGAGCAAACGGG
rnacentral:rRNA from 1 species